rnacentral:rRNA from 1 species
GACGUAGGGCGCGAGCGUUGUCCGGAUUUAUUGGGCGUAAAGAGCUCGUAGGCGGCUUGUUGCGUCGACUGUGAAAGCCUGCGGCUCAACCGUAUGGUCUGCAGUCGAUACGGGCAGGCUGGAGUUCGGUAGGGGAGACUGGAAUUCCUGGUGUAGCGGUGAAAUGCGCAGAUAUCAGGAGGAACACCGGUGGCGAAGGCGGGUCUCUGGGCCGAUACUGACGCUGAGGAGCGAAAGCGUGGGGAGCGAACAGG